rnacentral:rRNA from 1 species
UACGUAGGCAGCGAGCGUUGUUCGGAAUUACUGGGCGUAAAGAGUGUGUAGGCGGUGCUCUAAGUUCGGUGUGAAAUCUCCUGGCUCAACUGGGAGGGUGCGCCGGAAACUGGAGUGCUUGAGCGUGGGAGAGGAAAGCGGAAUUCCUGGUGUAGCGGUGAAAUGCGUAGAUAUCGGGAGGAACACCUGUGGCGAAAGCGGCGCACUGGACCAUAACUGACGCUGAGGCGCGAAAGCUAGGGGAGCAAACAGG